CAAAACGUAAUGAUCUAAAAAUGAAGCGAUAAAGCUUUUUUUUUUUUUGAAGAUUGAUGCCAAAGGAAAUUUAUAAACUUGAGAAGCUGAAGUUGUUUAAAAUAGUCCAAAAUGAACCAAAGCAUCAACACAAACACAAAAAAAGACCACUAGGCAGUCGUGUUGAAGAGAAAUGAACUGAAACUAAAGGCAGCGCUGUGUUGUGUAGUACCACGAGAUAGUGCUGUGAGUCUUUGCUGGACCUCGAUUUCAAAUCUGGUCCAGAGUUAGGAUUUAGGUGUUUUGGCGAGUACCCGGUCUGUGUGAUGCUUGCCAUAAUGUCUACAAAACAGGAAGUGAUUUCUGCUGGUGGGACGGAUACCAAGGAGCAGUUUAAAGUAGCUGCACAUUGACUCUCUGCUUCAUCUUGUGGUCCAAAGUGCAGCCAUGCUGCUCUUCUUCAUGUUCUUUUGAAACUUUAGCUCAUUUUGGAAGAUUUUAAACAGUUCUUGUAGCACAUUUACUUACAGGAAGUAGCUUUUAGGUGCCAUGAGAAAAGUGACAGCCAAAAUGAACAGCACCAGCGUUUCCAUUCUAAAUCGACCUAACCAACAUCCCGCCUCGCCCUCUCAAGACCAUCAACCCAUUUAAGAGAUCUCUUUUCUUUCCUCCAUCCAAACUCGGACACGAUGUGAAGGACUUCAGGUUUUAGAUGCCAGCUUUCUGAAUCUGUUGCUUUUAUUCUAGGCUUUAUUAUCGUUAUUAUUAAUAUUAUUUUGUUAAUGAUUUUUGGCCCCAAAUCCCCGUACAGAUCAACAUUUCAGAUGAACACGAGCACUGCACUUUCAUUGGCCGAAAACCCCGCAGAACUGCAGACAUUUUAUUUCAGAAGACGAAGAAGAAUGUUAACAUUUAUUUUUCCCUAAAAUUUUUUGUCGGGGUUUCACGACUUGAACUUUCUGUUUUGUUCAAUUUUAAAACUGCCAAAUUUCCCUCCUUCCUUCCUUCACUCAGUCAAACGUUACAGCUGCGAACCUAAAAGAAGACUUCGAUGAAGAAGCCGACUCGGAGCAUGAUUUGAAUUCCUUUGUUUGAAAUUUUGUUUCCAAGCAGUGCUGUGAAUCGUACGAGCUGUGAUUCUGUCCUUAUUUUGUCGUGCAUAUGUGGGGUAACUUUGCUAAGUGUGAAAAUAUUUUGACAAGUGCCACGCCCCGGCCUGUGCGAUGCUUACCAUAAUGUCUAUAAAACAGGAAGUGAUUUCUGCUGGUGGAACGGACACCAGAACAGAUCUAUGAUUAUUAUGCUUCAGAUCAUUAUUAUUAUUAUUAUGGUGACUUCUUAUUAUUCUACUGUAUCAUCAUUGCGACCAUGAUUAUUCUCAUAAUCAUUUAAGAGUCUAUUGUUUCGCCAUGUAUUUUUUAUGUUGAGAUUUUUAUUUUAGUUUUCUUUUUAUUAAAGGUAAAAAGAACUAACAGACACC
ensembl:lncRNA